AACCUCCGCAAUGUGAGAAAUCGCGACGGGGGGAUCCCAAGUGCCAUUCUUAACGGGAUGGCUUUUCAUUAGUGUAAAGAGCUUUUAGAAUAAGAGCUGGGCAAGACCGGUGCCAGCCACCGCGGUAACACCGGCAGCUCUAGUGGUAGCUGUUUUUAUUGGGCCUAAAGCGUUCGUAGCCGGUUUGAUAAGUCACUGGUGAAAUCCUGUAGCUUAACUGUGGGAAUUGCUGGUGAUACUGUUGAACUUGAGGUCGGGAGAGGUUAGCGGUACUCCCAGGGUAGAGGUGAAAUUCUGUAAUCCUGGGAGGACCACCUGUGGCGAAGGCGGCUAACUGGAACGAACCUGACGGUGAGGGACGAAAGCUAGGGGCGCGAACCGGAUUAGAUACCCGGGUAGUCCUAGCCGUAAACGAUGCGGACUUGGUGUUGGGAUGGCUUUGAGCCGCUCCGGUGCCGAAGGGAGCUGUUAAGUCCGCCGCCUGGGAAGUACGGUCGCAAGACUGAAACUUAAAGGAAUU
rnacentral:rRNA from 1 species